rnacentral:tRNA from 1 species
GAUAUUGCUCAGUGGUAGAGCUCUUGCCUUGUAUGCACAAGCACUGGGUUCAAUCCCAGUAUC